AUAUAUAAAUUUUAAAAAUUUAUCCAAACAGAAUAAUACAAAAUAGUUAACAAAACAAAUGAACAUUAUCCCUUUGUCUAGUUACUACCCAUCUCUCAACCUUUCUGACGAAUCCUACAAAUCCUAAAACUUAGGCUCAAUAUAAUUGUUUCUGUUACAAUCCCUAGUGAUCUCAAACCUGAGCUCUGAUACCACCAAAUCUAUCACGCCCCGAGCCCGAGGCGCGGCAGACGACGCACGCCCGCACGGCGAGCCGCGCAGGCGUGCAAGGCAUUGGAACAUAUCGGAGCAAAUACAGAUGUUCAAAAAUGACAUAAUUAUUUAAAUUGUUCAAAAGCAGUCUUACGAAGUUUAAAAAUAACAUUUGCUAACAUAAUUCAAAUGUCCAAACUAAACUAACUAAAAUGCCAAUAACUGAAAAAUCAUCGGAAAAUCUAACGCACUUCCCAAUCCCGUGCGAUCAAGCCUCUGGAUCUGAAAAAUAGAUGUUGCCCAGAGAUGGUCACCCAAGAGGGGGGUGAAUUGGGUGUUUUAAAAGCUUUUGACUAAUUAAAAAUAAAACACACGAAUAUAUGCACUAAAGUAAAGAAGGAGGAAUAAGAAAGGUCAAUCGCAAACACAAUGUUUUAUAGUGGUUCGGAGCUUCCACC
rnacentral:lncRNA from 1 species